AAGAGACAAACGUCUUUAGACCAUCCUAUAAACUAGGGAUCCUCAACUCCAGGCCUCAAGAGAACAACGUGUGUCCAGGUGUUUGAUGAGGGAGAUGCUGACCAAUCCUUGGCUUGUGUAACCAGGAUAAUUUUUCUAUACUAGAUUUAGUUAUUUUAUUUUUUAUUUUGUUAGAUUUAAUUUAUUUUUAUUUAAAAGUUUAAUUAAAAUCCCCCUUUCUUUAAUCUAUUUAACACCAACCAGGCGAGAACAACAUUGUUCUCGCGCGGGUUUGACGUCAUGUGACAGCUGCACGUCAGCGUCCUAAAUUGACAGCUACGGCUUAUAUGGCUGCUAAUCGCACCUUAGGUAGGAAACGCUGUCGGACCCUGACGUACAGGUAGGCUUCUGCUCUGUUCCCAAAGCGGUUUUCAGAUAUCUAUUGUAUAUCCUUCAAUCGUGUACCUCUGUUAACUUGCAGACGGGCGAUUAAUCAACCGAACGUUGUAAAGAUCACGGUUGGUCAAGAGGGAACUGGCCAGGUGUAUUUCAGAUCCCCCACUCAAGGAGUGGCUGAAGGGUCUGGAAUACAGCAAGGAUUGUCUGGCUUCAUGCUGACCAGACUGGCGAGCUAACCGGAAAUACAACACCUAUUAUCUGAGGAAACUCUUCCGAACUGGUUGGAGAUUCAGCCCAACAAGUCUUCACUGAAGGAACUGGAUUAUUAUUAUUAUUUUGUUUUUUCCCUUUUCAUCAUCAACAAAGACUGGUUGACUGCCUUGGUAUAAGGAACUCUUUUGGACUCUAAACUGUGGACUAACUUGUAUAUAUUGUAAAUAUUAAUAUAACUCACCAAUUUUUGCACCA